AUUGGCUCUGUUUUCUGGACUGGAGAAGUUGAUGGAGUUGGGUUUCAUGGAAAAGGAAGGCUUUUGAAUUUGAGUGGUAUCCCUACUGCUGUUAGUUUGUAUUCUUUCAGCUAUUGUGCUCAUCCAGUUUUCCCCACCUUAAUACUUCAAUGAAACACCAACAUCAGUUUUCUAAGGUCUUGUUGCUUUGCUUUGUUGUCUGUACUAUGAGUUACGCAUCAAUGGCUAUAUUGGGAUAUCUUAUGUAUGGAUCAAAUGUGUAUUCUCAAGUGACACUGAACCUGCCAACUGGGAAACGUAGCUCGAAGAUAGCAAUAUUCACCACUUUGGUCAAUCCGAUAACAAAGUAUGCAUUGAUGAUUACACCAAUCGUGAGUGCUUUGAGAAUCGGCUUCCAUGUCAU